rnacentral:ncRNA from 12 species
CGACUCUUAGCGGUGGAUCACUCGG